rnacentral:rRNA from 1 species
UACGUAGGCAGCGAGCGUUGUUCGGAAUUACUGGGCGUAAAGCGUGCGCAGGCGGCUUUGCAAGACAGAUGUGAAAUCCCCGGGCUUAACCUGGGAACUGCAUUUGUGACUGCAUGGCUGGAGUGCGGCAGAGGGGGAUGGAAUUCCGCGUGUAGCAGUGAAAUGCGUAGAUAUGCGGAGGAACACCGAUGGCGAAGGCAGUCCCCUGGGCCUGCACUGACGCUCAUGCACGAAAGCGUGGGGAGCAAACAGG